AUGAUGAGUGACAAAUACUGGGGCGAGCCGGCUCUGCCAGGGAAACUUCAAAAUGAGCCGAGCAAACACCGGGAGCUUUCUUCAAUCUGUCUCUCUUGGCCUAUUUCACUCAAACACAGUUGGAAGAUUCACUGGAUUUUCCUUCACAGUUGUGACAUGCUUUUCAUUCCUACAAAGUGAUGGGUGAAAUUGCUCGUUGCCAGAUCCAGUGCUUGAUGUAGUCCACCAAAGUCUUUCCAGAGAAGACAGAUUAGCGAGUGNNNNNNNNNNNNNNNNNAGCUCUUCCGACCCAGGCCGCAGUCGUAUUCAGCUGCUUGGACUCCUCGAGUGCUGAGGGCUGCUGUCAUCAGUGCCCCAGGCUCACACUAGAGACGGUAUUUCAUUUUUUACGUUUUGAUUUUAGUGCACAGAGACUAAACUCC
rnacentral:lncRNA from 1 species